GGAGGCCGUCAAGGUAGGCCCCACGAUAGCGCACGUCUGCAACUCUGUAUCCUUUCCCCGACCUGUCGCCUCCUUCUGCUUCCAGAUCACGCCGCCGCCGUCCAGCAGCUGGCAACUAGCGCCAUCCCACGUCGCCGUUGGUGGCCCCCCGCAAGACCGCCGUCGGCCGCGUCCAUCCCCUCAUCCGCCGCUCCAACUAGCAUGGACAAAGUAAGAUGAGAAGCGCGACCGUCGGGGCAUGGGUCGCCCGAUGGGGCGCGGGCAGAUCCGGCCGGAUUUGUGCAUGUGCCGAGGCGAUGGUGGCGCGCGCGUGCCGCUGGUGCUAGGGACGAAGCGGCGGCCAGGAGCGGCGGUCGCUGGCCUUAUCCUGCAGCUCGCGUGGUUAGGCCCACGUCGUGCACGCCCCGCCGAGCUCGACCGGCUCCUCCAGCAUGCACUCGGGCAGCACAAUCGUGGGGAGCACGAUGAUCCAAUUUGGUCCUAACGAGAUCCUGCAGCAAGCUGACUGAAGCAACACAAAAAGACAGAUGGCUGGCUGCUAUGAACGAUUUCGGUUGGAUGCUCAGCAGCCAACGCACGCACGGAACAGUUUGAGUAUCAACCUAGGUACGGCAUCACCGUCCCCUCCUGCCCGCAGACCCUCCGCCACUAGGAUCACAUUCCAGCAACAGCAAAUGCCACUUGUGCUGGCCUCACGGAGUCACGCCGGUGGUGGAGGCUUCUUGUCUCUCAUGUCGCCAAAGAUCUGCGUAAACAAUGACCCUACAAGCAACAGCAUGUAUCUGUGCACGCCAUCAAACUCCUAAGUUUACAUGAUCCAGGUAAUCUUGGAGGUGACAUCAAGUUUAAAUGAACAUGAUAUGUUUUGGCCAUAACAUUAAAACAGGACCGAGCGACGCACAUGAUACCUCAACCAUACUAUAGGUGGUAGCACUGGAGGCGCGUGUCAUUGCUCUUCUGAGCUAAGGAGAACCUUGGUCAGGAGAUUACGGGAGGGCACAUGGGUGAAGCUUGGCGGCAAGCCAUCGGUGGCGGUGGUCAUCUCGAGAAUCCUAUGGUUUGGUUACCGG